GGGGGUGUAAAGGUUUCGACGGGGUUAUAGAUACGUAAGGAGCGAGCCGCAGCGGAAUCUGCGUUAAAAGUCCAAACUUUUAAAAUUAAACGCUAACAAAAAUUUAGCUUACGCUGCCUAAUUGACGCAGCUGCCUUCCCGCGGUUACCGCGGCUGCGGUGCAAGGUAUCAUCUGAGCGGUGAACGUGAACCGAAAAAGCUUUGAUUCGGUCAUGAAUAUAUGAAGCUACCGAUUUUUAAAGUUUGUCUGUGAACUUUAAUGAUAGGGAAUUUUGAUCACAGACUACGCUCGUAGCGCCUUGCGGGGAUAUUUCUUCGGACAGGAGUUCAAUUCUCCUCACCUCCACCA
rnacentral:tmRNA from 1 species